rnacentral:rRNA from 1 species
UACAGGGGGUGCAAGCGUUGCUCGGAAUUAUUGGGCGUAAAGCGCGCGUAGGCGGCUACCUAAGUCGGAUGUGAAAGCCCCUGGCUUAACUGGGGAAGUGCACCCGAAACUGAGUAGCUAGAGUGCGAAAGAGGGUCGCGGAAUUCCCGGUGUAGAGGUGAAAUUCGUAGAUAUCGGGAGGAACACCGGUGGCGAAGGCGGCGACCUGGGUCGAGACUGACGCUGAGGCGCGAAAGCGUGGGGAGCAAACAGG